UCUCCGUAGGUGAACCUGCGGAGGGAUCAUUACAGAGUUCAUGCCCUACCGGGUAGAUCUCCCACCCUAUGUUAUUAAUACUUUGUUGCUUUGGCGGGCCGUUAGGCUCCGGCCCGACUACCGGCCCCGGCUGGUAAGCGCCCGCCAGAGGACCCAAAACCCUGAAUAUUAGUGUCGUCUGAGUACUAUAUAAUAGUUAAAACUUUCAACAACGGAUCUCUUGGUUCUG
rnacentral:misc_RNA from 1 species